GAGUUUGCCAGAGUUUUAAAUUCCUUAUCUCAAGAGAGUAGCUCCAACCCGAUGCUUCUUUCUUAUCAAGGCCUAUGUUCCAGAUCCAUUGAUCAAAUGUCAUCAACAUUCAGUCUGGUAUGUGCUGGCAAAUUCUUGUGGGUCCUUUGAAGUAUUCUGGUACUUCAAAGUAUUGUCUCUAUUGUCAGGCUUAGUGUAUCCGUGGCUGGGUUAUUGGCUUAACAGGCAUAAGUGGAGCUGGAACAGAUCUGGAGUUUUCCCCACAUCGUUAAUGGUAUGGGAAUUAGGAGCAGGUCAUGUGACUCACAUGGCUCACCAUAUAAUUCCUUCUGGAGAGCAGCCCUCAGAGACUCAGGAUUCAUGUGCCUGCAUGAACAUGGCCCAAUCUAUUGUCAAACCAGAAUACUAGAACCGAAAACAUCUCCAAUAUAGAAACGUACGGACUUCCCAACUUGUUCACUUGCUAUGGAAGCAAGAUAUAGUUCUGACGUUUGCAAAAAUAAAAGAAAACUGAAUGAUUCUUCUUAAAACUUGUUUUCCUCUUCUUUCCAUCUUUUAUUUAAAUCCUUUUCAUCCUUUAAUUCUAGUGACCACAUCAGAGGUAUUGUAAAUCCACCAUCCUUUACUGUGUAUAUUUCAUCAAAGAGACAUUGCAACAGAAUCUGCCGAUUUCACAGAUAAAAUGCAAAGGUCUUUCAGGCAAAAAUAUAAGGCUAAUUCAGUGAAAUUUAUGAAGUUUUUAUGUUUCUAACAUUAUAUAAAAUGUUACAUAAUGUAGGAUACAUGUUCCUAAAAUAAUACAUUACACAUUGCAUUUCUAUAGCAAGACACAUUAAUUGCCUGGAAGUUGAAGUACAAUUGUCCAAGAGACAUAACUUUUAUUGCUCAGAAAAAUAAACAAUUACAGGGAAGUUAUUUACUUAAGGCCAAGUUCAGGAAGAAUAUGGCAGGAAAUUGUCUAAAAGCAUAAGACUGUUUAAUAAUACUUUUAAUUUUAUUUGUGUCUUAAAUAUUUAAAUUGAAUUGCUCUAGUAUGACAUUGCUUUGAAUUUUAUUAAACAUAUGUAAAGUGCAGUGGUUUUCUUUGUUUCAAAAUUCAUAAUUUUUCAUCUGCUCUCCACUUAUGGUAGAAAAAAACUCCACAGUGAUUGCACUGCAGCUUUUCAAGAAAAAAAUGAAACAUACUAUUUCUUUAUAGUUUUAGUUUUCUGAAAAUGUCUUCUUUUAAGAUAUGCAGCUGAAAUCAUAAGGCCAUAUGAAUAUUUGGCAAUGAUCUCAUAAGUCUGCUUGAUAUGAUCACAAGAAGAUAAACUUGACUUCAAAGAAAAUUAUUUAGCAAAACUGUCUCUUUUUUAUAAGCAUGUUGGUAAUUGUCUCAUACACCCUCU
rnacentral:lncRNA from 1 species